UACUUGUACGUAUAUGGUUUCAGGGCUGAC
rnacentral:piRNA from 1 species